rnacentral:lncRNA from 1 species
GCAGAUUAUCUUACCCAUCUAGUCCAACUCGAAGAAUAUUCCCGUCUUUCAAUUUCAACUCAAUUAUCUUUUUUUCCCACAGUCCACUACAACACUAUGAGCAGACAACUAGUCCAUCCCAAGGAUUACAUCAAACUCAUUAAACGACAAUAACAUCAAGUUAGCUGAAAAAUAAUAACCUCUAAUUGUCAAAGGGUAAUUCCUACAUACUUGGUCCACUAGCACAUGUCUGCUAAAGGAUUGGGCACUUUUAUUACAAACUCAGUGGACUCUACUA